rnacentral:rRNA from 1 species
GACAGAGGGUGCAAACGUUGUUCGGAAUUACUGGGCGUAAAGCGUGUGUAGGCGGCUAGGUAAGUCGGAUGUGAAAGCCCUGGGCUCAACCCAGGAAGUGCACUCGAUACUGCUUAGCUAGAGUACCGGAGAGGUUGGUAGAAUUCUCGGUGUAGAGGUGAAAUUCGUAGAUAUCGAGAGGAAUACCGGUGACGAAAGGCGGCCAACUGGACGAGUACUGACGCUGAGACACGAAAAGCGUGGGGGGAGCAAAA